UUCAUAUUGGCCAUGGUCAAUCCAUCUGGGCAGAUCUUGCAGAAUGGUACUUGUUUCUGCUACUUCCGAAAUUCUUCACCUCAUAAUAUCCAAUGGCUUGUGGAUAAGUAAUUAUUUCAAUUGUACUGCCAGAUCUUAUCCUACCAUGUUUUUAGACCACUGAUUGUUUAGAAUAUAUGUUUCUGUGUUUUUCAUAUCAUGGUGCUACUUUCUGUUGUAUGACAUUUGCACAUAAAUUUUCAGACAAUCUAUUUGGAGUAGAAUAUAAGAGAAUUCAUACUAUUUUAAUUACAGGAGAAAUUGAUAAUGGGUUGUUCAUAAUCAGACCAAGCUGGCACUAUUGAUGUAUCAGUUCACCAGAAAUCUCUUUAAAAUGGAAUUCUUUGCAGGGGAUUGUUAGUUGGUCUAUCACUGUUCUCAAGUAGCUGAGGAUAUAUGUUAUUUGUGAAAAAAAUGAGUUGCUACCAUUGUUGAACUACUCUGCUACCAUGUCAAGAAAUUGGUCUAACUGUUGAAGAUAUUGUCCAUUUUAGGUGCCUGCUCUUCAUACAUCUCGCACUCUGUUGUCUCAUUGUAACGCAGAAAAACCGCUGAAAAGGUAUUAUUCCAGACACAUUCAUUUGAUCCCCCAACUAAUAAUUAGAUUUCUAUUUGUACCUUUACUUUCAAGAAAUUAACUUGACCAGCUCUGGCUGAAGCUGAAAAUUGAUGCCAGUUUUAUUAGUGAAACAUGCCAAAGCUCAUGGCUGGCGAUAUGCCACAGGUUCAGUUAUGUUGCGUGUGGGUGUGCAUGUCGCCACAUUCAGAGCUUCAAAGAAGCAGCCUCAGGAAGCUAUAGCUUGCAUGGAAGGAGUCUGGCGCCGUCCGUUUCAAGCCUACCAGUGAUCGGAUCGCCGGGAGACAUUAAUUGAGAUGUUGAGGAUCUGAAAACGUAUGGACCAGCAGAUCUUCAAUUGCAAGGGUAUUAGAAAAACAAGAAAACAAAACAACUUAGGCUGCUACCAGGCUAAGGGUGGUGCUGAUUAUUGACAUUAAAAGUAAUGAAGAUGCACAUAUUCUGGUUUAGUAGAGACUAGAGAGGUGUCAAGUGUGGUGUUUGCAAGAUCUGCAACCUCUCGUGUUGAGAGUUACAUCGCACGAUUUUAAUACUACCUCUUAACCUUGAUUAAUAUACACCUAUUUUAUUAGCCGCUUUUGGAAGUUGCAUACAUUUCAU
rnacentral:lncRNA from 1 species